rnacentral:rRNA from 1 species
AUUGAACGCUGGCGGCAGGCCUAACACAUGCAAGUCGAGCGGAUGACGGGAGCUUGCUCCUUGAUUCAGCGGCGGACGGGUGAGUAAUGCCUAGGAAUCUGCCUGGUAGUGGGGGACAACGUUUCGAAAGGAACGCUAAUACCGCAUACGUCCUACGGGAGAAAGCAGGGGACCUUCGGGCCUUGCGCUAUCAGAUGAGCCUAGGUCGGAUUAGAUAGUUGGUGGGGUAAUGGCUCACCAAGGCGACGAUCCGUAACUGGUCUGAGAGGAUGAUCAGUCACACUGAGACUGAGACACGGUCCAGACUCCUGCGGGAGGCAGCAGUGGGGAAUAUUGGACAAUGGGCGAAAGCCUGAUCCAGCCAUGCCGCGUGUGUGAAGAAGGUCUUCGGAUUGUAAAGCACUUUAAGUUGGGAGGAAGGGCAGUAAGCUAAUACCUUGCUGUUUUGACGUUACCGACAGAAUAAGCACCGGCUAACUCUGUGCCAGCCGCCGCGGUAAUAC